AUGAACGCUGGCGGCGUGCCUAAUACAUGCAAGUCGAGCGAACAGACGAGGAGCUUGCUCCUCUGACGUUAGCGGCGGACGGGUGAGUAACACGUGGAUAACCUACCUAUAAGACUGGGAUAACUUCGGGAAACCGGAGCUAAUACCGGAUAAUAUAUUGAACCGCAUGGUUCAAUAGUGAAAGACGGUUUUGCUGUCACUUAUAGAUGGAUCCGCGCCGCAUUAGCUAGUUGGUAAGGUAACGGCUUACCAAGGCAACGAUGCGUAGCCGACCUGAGAGGGUGAUCGGCCACACUGGAACUGAGACACGGUCCAGACUCCUACGGGAGGCAGCAGUAGGGAAUCUUCCGCAAUGGGCGAAAGCGUGACGGAGCAACGCCGCGUGAGUGAUGAAGGUCUUCGGAUCGUAAAACUCUGUUAUUAGGGAAGAACAAAUGUGUAAGUAACUAUGCACGUCUUGACGGUACCUAAUCAGAAAGCCACGGCUAACUACGUG
rnacentral:rRNA from 1 species